rnacentral:misc_RNA from 1 species
CUGGGAGAGCGCGUGCUUUGCAAGCAUGAGGUCGUCGGUUCGAUCCCGUCUGGCUCCACCAGAUGGUUUGAUCACCGAGAUCUUGACCGUCGUCCGCGAAACAUCACUUCGCAUCCUGCUAGUCUGGAUAGACAGCAGUUUGCGUGUUUUCUGACAUCGUAAAGAGGAGAUCGAUCCGAGUUGGGUCGUGCAGCAUAUCGUUGCGCGAGCCUUCAUUAUCUCCGGAUCAUUUCGGCGCUCGCUUCCAGCCGUGAGGUUGGAUGCGGGUUGUAAAUGAUCCUUUUAGCGAAGCUUGACCGCCUCGCUAUCGGAACGAUCUUACGAAGCAAGCUGGUCUUUCUAGUCAAUGUCCGGCUGCGGAUAGCGUUCAUCGAGGGCGCGUGCCGCAAGGCAAUUCUGCAGACAACAUUCUGCCGAGUGUGUGGACAUUGAUAAUGAGAGCAAUCAAGUGCCUUAAGGGUGUUCGGUGGAUGCCUUGGCGCUGAGAGGCGAUGAAGGACGUGCUACGCUGCGAUAAGCCGUGGGGAGCUGCGAAGAAGCUUUGAUCCGCGGAUUUCCGA